UGAAUGACUGUCUGUGUCUUAUGUGUUGUGUUGUAUUAUUUUGUUUUGUUAUUAUGACUUGAAGAUGGCGCCGUGAGAUUGGCUGCCUUUACAGCAGCUCCUAUACUUUUUAUUCUUCUACUUUCUUCCUUUCAUAACUUUGCUGUUGUAAAUUGGGAAUUUCUCCAUUGUGAGACGACUAAAGGUAGGCCAAAGAUGGAGAAAUUUUCGGAUGCACACAUCCACGCGAGCAGCGAUUUUCCACAAUGAACAAUGUUAAAAACAAUCACCGCUCACGCAUCACAGACGACAGCUUCGAGUCGGUCCUGCGUAAAGAUGAAGGUCAAGGUUCCGCUGCACCCUCCAAGCCAAAAGAAUGACGGCUCACGGCAUUUUUGUUUGCUACAAGUUCAGCUCUAGAGGUUUGCUCUCAGUCCAGCUUUUUGAAUCAUUUGAAAGAUACUUUUAACUCUGCAAUUUGUAUUGUUUUUUUGUUGUUGUUAAGAGUUUAAAAUGUGCUAAUUUUUACAGUGCACUCGAUUUGGUUCAUAAUCCAAUGCGUGAUGUAUUUUUAUCUACAUUCAGAAGAGGCCUGAUCCCUAGCUAAAGAUAUCGGAGCCAUGAGUUUGUUUCUACUUCCGCUGUCAGGACGCAUAUCCAAAUUGUGCUACAUAUGAGUAAAAAAAUUGGAA